rnacentral:rRNA from 1 species
CGUAGGGUGCAAGCGUUAAUCGGAAUUACUGGGCGUAAAGCGUGCGCAGGCGGUUUUGUAAGUCUGUCGUGAAAUACCCCGGGCCGUCAACCUCGGGAAGUCGGCGAUGGUAGACUGCAAGGCGUAGAAUCUGGCAGGAGGGGGUAGAAUUCCACGUGUAGCAGUGAAAUGCGUAGAGAUGUGGAGGAACACCGAUGGCGAAGGCAGCCCCCUGGGUCAAGAUUGACGCUCAUGCACGAAAGCGUGGGGAGCAAACAGGAUUAGAUACCCUGGUAGUCCACGCCCUAAACGAUGUCUACUAGUUGUCGGGUCUUAAUUGACUUGGUAACGCAGCUAACGCGUGAAGUAGACCGCCUGGGGAGUACGGUCGCAAGAUUA